rnacentral:rRNA from 1 species
GAUCUGGCUCAGGAUGAACGCUAGCUACAGGCUUAACACAUGCAAGUCGUGGGGCAGCAUGCGGUUGCUUGCAACCGACGAUGGCGACCGGCGCACGGGUGAGUAACGCGUAUCCGAACCUGGCCCAUAGUAGGGAAUAGCCCGGCGAAAGUCGGAUUAAUGCCCUAUGUUCUCCUUUGAUGGCAUCUGAUUUGGAGCAAAGGUUAUCCGCUAUGGGAUGGGGAUGCGUCCGAUUAGCCAGCCGGCGGGGUAACGGCCCACCGGGGCUUCGAUCGGUAGGGGUUCUGAGAGGAAGGUCCCCCACAUUGGAACUGAGACACGGUCCAAACUCCUACGGGAGGCAGCAGUGAGGAAUAUUGGUCAAUGGGCGCAGGCCUGGACCAGCCCAAGUAGCGUGCGGGAUGACGGCCCUAUGGGUUGUAAACCGCUUUUGCGGGGAAUAAAGUGAGGAACGUGUUCCUUUUUGCAUGUACCCCGAGAAUAAGGACCGGCUAAUUCCGUGCCAGCAGCGGC